GUCAGGAGUGUGUAGUUUCCCUGAUCUUCCGUUACUCCAAUAACUUCAAUCUCCUCCUUCUUAAUUUCAGGUUCCUCAAUCUGAAGAUUAACAAAACAAAUAUUGUGUAAGAUUUUCUCUAAAAGAAAUAAGAGAAACAUCCAGGAGGCUCGCACCACACCGCAACUUCAGAUCCAAGAUUGGAAUCUCAGAUCGAGUCAUCCUUGGCUUGUGCAACUACAAAAGUACAGCCCAGUUACACAUGUGUUACAGGUUAAAAUGUUUUUUUCUGCAGACUACUAAGUGUUAUGCAACAAUUAAUAAGUGAGACGUGGAUCGAGAGGCGAUAGAUAGAUAGAUAGAUAGAUAGAUAGAUAGAUAGAUAGAUAGAUAGAUAGAUAGAUAGAUAGAUAGAUAGAUAGAUAGAUAGAUAGAUAGAUAGAUAGAUAGACUCACUUUUUCCACCUUCCCUUGAAGACUUAAAUAUCCACUUUUGGAAAAGAUGUCCUCCUCCUCCCCAGUCACCAGAGCAGAUGGUGGACACAGAGCAUCCUUUGCUGCUCUCUCAGCCUCCUCGGGUAUGUUUAUUGGAGCCGUCCUAAAUUUAUAUUUUCGUUCAAGCAGCAAGUAUAGCCGCCCAUACCGCUUUGAAAUUAUGCUUUUUCUGAGUAUGUAUGAUGCUCCCUCCUCAAAUUCUGGAUCUGGGCCAUUUUUCUUGUGCAGAAUUGCCCUACUGCCAUCAGUGAGGGCACAAGCUGCGGAGGUUUUGUAAGAACUAAUCUCUAUUUUAGAAUUUUGAUAUGAAAAUGAGCUUGCUUUAUGAUAAACAUGUGUUUUAACACAUUUUAGGGUUAGUCGCCCUGGUGUGGCAUAUGGAUGUGACAUUCUGUGGUUCCUGUGAGAGAGGGAGAUCGAGCGCUGUAGGACUGGCGUGUGACACCUGCUCCCUUUGAUGACAUACAGAGCGCUCCCUCCAGCACUCGCAUCUCCCUUGCGCAAAUGAUGCCAAACGAAGAUAACGGAAUUAACGGUCUGAACGAAAAGCCAUCAUCUGUAUGGGACAUUUUACAUAUUUAGGGAGGGGUCAGUGUACUGUAAAAUGCAGCCAUAUAUUUUUAUGACAUUAUUAUGUCGACGUGAAGUAAAGAGGCUGAUUUUUUUGUAAAAAAAAAAAAUCAGUGUGGAAAUAAUUUUUUUUUUUUUAGUAAUGUAGUUAUGAAAGUGUUCUUUUUUUUACUUUUUUAUAUUGUUACUUUUUUUUAGUAUGACUAUUCAUUUUGAAAGUGUUUUGUAUUACUUAGUUGAGUACUUACCUUAAUAAGUAUAAGCUCCGUCUGCUCCGGUCAGAUUGUUGUCCAGAAAUGCGCACUGUUGGCAUGGAGACAACUUAAAUAGCGUCUGGCCUCGCGGCUCUUGCACGCGACCAUUCUGCUAUUUUAGGCCUGUAGGUCUUAACAAUGUACAUAAUAUGUUUAUAUAAUUUUUUUUUUUACAGAUACAUGUUAGAAAAUAUACCUUAUAUACUUAUAAAGGAAAAUAUGUAACGUUAAUUUGUAUGCCUAAUUGAGCUGCCAGACAGAAGCUGCACUUUUUCUGACAGUAAUAAUUUUCUCUCUAUAUAUAUUAUUAUUAUGCUGGAAAAUACGUGGGAACUUAAAAGCUGUUUUUGUCUCUUUGGUGUGCACAAAUAAUAAAAAUAAAAACAAU